rnacentral:rRNA from 1 species
AACGAACGCUGGCGGCAUGCCUAACACAUGCAAGUCGAACGAGAUCUUCGGAUCUAGUGGCGCACGGGUGCGUAACGCGUGGGAAUCUGCCCCUUGCUUCGGAAUAACAGUGAGAAAUUACUGCUAAUACCGGAUGAUGUCUUCGGACCAAAGAUUUAUCGGCAAGGGAUGAGCCCGCGUAGGAUUAGGUAGUUGGUGGGGUAAUGGCCUACCAAGCCGACGAUCCUUAGCUGGUCUGAGAGGAUGAUCAGCCACACUGGGACUGAGACACGGCCCAGACUCCUACGGGAGGCAGCAGUGGGGAAUAUUGGACAAUGGGCGGAAGCCUGAUCCAGCAAUGCCGCGUGAGUGAUGAAGGCCUUAGGGUUGUAAAGCUCUUUUACCAGGGAUGAUAAUGACAGUACCUGGAGAAUAAGCUCCGGCUAACUCCGUG